GGCACGGUGGCUUAGUGGUUAGCAUGCUUUCCACGCACCUCCAGGGUUGGGGGUUCGAUUCCUGCCUCUGCUC